GAUGAACGCUGGCGGCGUGCCUAAUACAUGCAAGUCGAGCGAACACACGAUGAGCUUUCUCCUUUGCCGUUAGCGGCUGACGGGUGAGUGACACGUGCAUAACCUUCCUAUAUUUCUUGGAUAACUUCGUGAAACCGGUUCCAAUACCGGAUCAUAUAUUCAACCGCAUGGAGCAAUAGUUAAUGACGGCUUUCCCGUCACUUUUAGCCGGUGUCGCGCCGCAUUAGCUAGUUGGUAAGGUAACGGCUUACCAAGGCGACGAUGCGUAGCCGACCUGAGAGGAUGAUCGGCCACACUGGAACUGAGACACGGUCCAGACUCCUACGGGAGGCAGCAGUAGGGAAUAUUGCGCAAUGGGCGCAAGCCUGACGGAGCAACGCCGCGUGGGUGAAGAAGGUCUUCGGGUCGUAAAGCUCUGUUAUUGGGGAAGAAAAGAUGUAGAAGAAACUAUGCACGUCUUGACGGUACCUAAUCAGAAAGCAACGGCUAACUACGUG
rnacentral:rRNA from 1 species